AGCGAACGCUGGCGGCAGGCCUAACACAUGCAAGUCGAACGGACCCUUCGGGGUUAGUGGCGGACGGGUGAGUAACACGUGGGAGCGUGCCUUUAGGUUCGGAAUAGCUCCUGGAAACGGGUGGUAAUGCCGAAUGUGCCCUUCGGGGGAAAGAUUUAUCGCCUUUAGAGCGGCCCGCGUCGGAUUAGCUAGUUGGUGGGGUAAUGGCUCACCAAGGCGACGAUCAGUAGCUGGUCUGAGAGGAUGACCAGCCACACUGGGACUGAGACACGGCCCAGACUCCUACGGGAGGCAGCAGUGGGGAAUCUUGCGCAAUGGGCGAAAGCCUGACUCAGCCAUGCCGCGUGAAUGAUGAAGGUCUUAGGAUUGUAAAAUUCUUUCACCGGGGACGAUAAUGACGGUACCCGGAGAAGAAGCCCCGGCUAACUUCGUGCCAGCCGCCGCCGUAAAAC
rnacentral:rRNA from 1 species